UACAGAGGGUGCGAGCGUUGUCCGGAAUUAUUGGGCGUAAAGAGCGUGUAGGCGGUCCGGUAAGUCGGUUGUGAAAGCCCAGGGCUCAACCCUGGGAUGCCGACCGAUACUGUCGGACUAGAGUUCGGAAGAGGCGAGUGGAAUUCCCGGUGUAGCGGUGAAAUGCGCAGAUAUCGGGAGGAACACCUAUGGCGAAGGCAGCUCGCUGGGACGUUACUGACGCUGAGGAGCGAAAGCGUGGGGAGCGAACAGG
rnacentral:rRNA from 1 species